CAGUUUACUACAGAGCAACCAAAAGAGUUGAACAAAUACGGCUCCCCGGGUUAUGCACGGCUUGAGCCAUCUAGGGAGGAUAAGGCACGUGUUGGACGGUCGUGGAAAAAUCCUUGGGUAGAUGAUAAGUCCUACAUCACAGUCAGCAUCUUUCCAAGCAUGCAGCAUGUUGCCGCUUUUUAUCAAGACAAGGAAUAUGAGGAUCUCAGAUACAAGUUGAGCCAGUACUCUGACCCUGUAAUGGUGGCUAUAAAACUCUUAAAGGUCAGGGGUACCACGAGGUGGUAGAGGGUAUUCAAAGUGACAGGUACAGGGUACCUCGAGGCCAUAGAGUGUAGUGAACGUGAUACCUCGAGUGGACGUGACAUAAUUAUGUUAUCGAUAACACGUUAUUCAGUAUAACGUUUUUAAUGUAACAGCGUUAUGAAUGCUAAUUUUGUUGUCUUGCACUUGUUGUCUCUCUAACUUCUGUGAAAAUUUCUAAACCCUCUUUACUCAAUUAAAUAAUCCGUUUUAUGACUUUCUGUAGAAUGUAAACAAAGGAUUUUACACUUUGCAGUUGUUAUUUGAAGCUUAAAGGCUCAUAAUGCUUUUGUUCAUAAUGUUGCUGCCACCUGUUUUUAUAAUGAACAUAAAAUUAGUAUUUUUUGUUAAAUCCUAUUUUCAACAAUUGUUUCAAGUCUCUAAUAUUUGCCAAAGGUUGGAAUAUUGAUUAACAUAGUAUAAAGUUUUAUGGGACACAUCCUUUUUUAUUACCUCCCUUUACAGUUUUAACUUUAUAAGUUCAUGUCCAGUAUUUCAGGUAGUGCUUUUCUAACCAUGUAAUUAUGCAUCACAUCUAUUCGGACAGCUGUAUCAUCUGUUUUUGAUAUAAUAUUUAAAGCCUUAUGGGACUUUAAGAUAAUAUAUCAGUAAAAAAAAGACUAAAAUUUCACUGCUGAUUUGUGAGACAUGAUAACAAAGAUAUGAGUAUAUGCAAAUGUUUAUUUAGUACCAAUGUGUAGUGGAGUUUGAGCGUGUGUAUAAAGCAGUUUCAAAAUCUAAUUUUUGUUUAGGUUAGCGGAUUUGUUGUGGAAUAUGCACUCUUCUAUACUGCUAUAUUCUACUUAUGCUAUAUAUAUAUAUAUAUAUAUAUAUAUAUAUAUAUAUAGGUUCUGUUCAAUUUUUAUGCAAUAAUUCUGCAUGUCUUUAUGCCAAAUGUUAUACCUGAAUGAUUUACAUGUCAUGUGAUACCAAAAAUAAGUUUUAGUAGAGUUUUUUUUACUUCUUCCCGGCAAAAUUGGGAUCGGUUCAUUUUUUAUUUGUUCCAUACCGGACCUUUAACAUUUUUACUCAGUUUGUGACGUGUGAUGCAUGCACAUAGUUGUAUUACAUCAGAAAUAAGUAGUAUUUACUAGAAGUUUGUAUUUAUAGUUUCGUUUGGACAAAAAAUGUACUCAGAUUUUUGCCCUGUAAAAUACAUACUGUUUUAGUGUACUUCAAAUAAUACCGCGUGUGUCAUUUUGUAAAACGUUUUACUAGAGUCUAUCACCAUCCUGAUAUAAAAGAGACGAUUCUACAAUCGAUGUGAACAUCCUCUUUGGCAAACCAGUUUCUUCGUCCCGCAUAUUUGGUUUUUGGCUUCAUGAUACCGUUUUUUUUCUGUAAUAAUUGAAGUAUAUUUAAGACCGGAAACUCCCACCAUUUAAUCGUUUUACUGUCAAAGAUACUCUUGCUGGCAUGUUAUCUAGAUACCUGUAUUGCUACUUUGGCAUAAUAUUUACAUUCAAAAUCUGUUUCCUUAGAUGUAGCUGAAUUGAGUGGAUGUAUACGAGUUCCCGUGAAUCUUGUGACGUCAUGUGAUCAUAGGCGCAUCAUUGCAUAGGUCACACGGUCCGUUCACAAGAAUUAUCUGUUAAAAUCGGUGUAAUUUAAAGUAUGGAAAGAUAUAUAUGUGUUGCAAUCUGAAUUCAGUCGCUUUCAAAUUUCCCGUGGUUUAAAGGGCUAGAAACAAACAUUGAGAAGAAAAAUAGUUUGCUAUAUGUUCAAUAUAUGGACCGUGAAAAUCGGCAUAUUUAACGAUUUUAUGAGCAACCUCCCCUCCCCCCUCCACCAAACAACACCACCAAAACAAAUCUUAAUACGGCUGCGCUGAAAAAGCGCAAUUUCCCUGGAGCAUGCGCUGUAGUGACAUUGGAACGUUUUGCUAUUCAAACAUCUGCAGCUGGCCGAUGUUUUCAUAACUUCAAAAGGACUAGAAACUGGUUCAAAUAAAUCAAUGCGAGAGAAAGAAACAAGGUCUUAGUACAAGUUGUUCUGUAUACAGUAUACGGGGACUAUAUUCUUUGAACAGUCUAAUGUAUUCCAUAUCCAAGUAAUUACGGUAAGAAAUCUACAGCUGAUCAACAGUUUUAUUAUCGUUUAUUGUAAGAAGGGAAUUUCGUACCAGGAUCAGGCUUUAGUAAACAAAGUGUGUUUUAUAUAUGACAGGUUUUCUAUUCAUAUUUUGUUCUACAACGAAAUUUAUAUUGUAUUUUCAAAAUAUUAAUUUGUAUUCAUAUGUCGUAUUAAUUUAUACGUUUUGUUUAAAUCAUACUACAGCACGCAUGAUCAUUCUUUGUAGCACGACACCGCACGUACAAAUAUGUCAUUUUUCUGGUAAUUGAAAAUAUAUGUAUAAAUGAUUAAAUAUUGCCUUGUAACGUAA
rnacentral:lncRNA from 1 species